CCCAAAACUGAACACAGUACUCCAGAUAAGUGCUGAGCAGAGAGGUACUAUCACUGUCUGUGUCUUGUACCUAAAGCUUCUAUUGAUGUAUCCCAAAACAGCAUUUGCCUUUUGUGUGUCUGCAUCACACUGCACACUCUU